rnacentral:rRNA from 1 species
UGGGGAAUAUUGGACACUGGGCGCAAGCCUGAUCCAGCCAUGCCGCGUGAGUGAUGAAGGCCCUAGGGUUGUAAAGCUCUUUUACCUGGGAAGAUAAUGACGGUACCAGGAGAAUAAGCCCCGGCUAACUUCGUGCCAGAAGCCGCGGUAAUACGAAGGGGGCUAGCGUUGUUCGGAAUCACUGGGCGUAAAGCGCACGUAGGCGGAUCUUUAAGUCAGGGGUGAAAUCCCGAGGCUCAACCUCGGAACUGCCUUUGAUACUGGGGAUCUCGAGUCCGGGAGAGGUGAGUGGAACUGCGAGUGUAGAGGUGAAAUUCGUAGAUAUUCGCAAGAACACCAGUGGCGAAGGCGGCUCACUGGCCCGGUACUGACGCUGAGGUGCGAAAGCGUGGGGAGCAAACA